rnacentral:rRNA from 1 species
CCCAGACUCCUACGGGAGGCAGCAGUGGGGGAUAUUGCACAAUGGGGGAAACCCUGAUGCAGCGACGCCGCGUGAGUGAGGAAGUAUUUCGGUAUGUAAAGCUCUAUCAGCAGGGAAGAAGAUGACGGUACCUGACUAAGAAGCCCCGGCUAACUACGUGCCAGCAGCCGCGGUAAUACGUAGGGGGCGAGCGUUAUCCGGAUUCACUGGGUGUAAAGGGAGCGUAGACGGCCGUGCAAGCCAGGAGUGAAAGCCCGGGGCCCAACCCCGGGACUGCUCUUGGAACUGCGUGGCUGGAGUGCAGGAGGGGCAGGCGGAAUUCCUGGUGUAGCGGUGAAAUGCGUAGAUAUCAGGAGGAACACCGGUGGCGAAGGCGGCCUGCUGGACUGCAACUGACGUUGAGGCCCGAAAGCGUGGGGAGCAAACAGGAUUAGAUACCCUUGUACGG